GAUGAACGCUGGCGGCGUGCCUAAUACAUGCAAGUCGAGCGAACGGACGAGAAGCUUGCUUCUCUGAUGUUAGCGGCGGACGGGUGAGUAAAACGUGGAUAACCUACCUAUAAGACUGGGAUAACUUCGGGAAACCGGAGCUAAUACCGGAUAAUAUUUUGAACCGCAUGGUUCAAAAGUGAAAGACGGUCUUGCUGUCACUUAUAGAUGGAUCCGCGCUGCAUUAGCUAGUUGGUAAGGUAACGGCUUACCAAGGCAACGAUGCAUAGCCGACCUGAGAGGGGGAUCGGCCACACUGGAACUGAGACACGGUCCAGACUCCUACGGGAGGCAGCAGUAGGGAAUCUUCCGCAAUGGGCGAAAGCCUGACGGAGCAACGCCGCGUGAGUGAUGAAGGUCUUCGGAUCGUAAAACUCUGUUAUUAGGGAAGAACAUAUGUGUAAGUAACUGUGCACAUCUUGACGGUACCUAAUCAGAAAGCCACGGCUAACUACGUG
rnacentral:rRNA from 1 species